UAUGCUUUCUCCCUAGCUCAGUCUCCUCCAUUUACUCCCUGGAUUUGCUGAGAUGACACCGAAGUGCUUUCACCACCGCAGCUGUGCACGUCAAAAUGGAUUUUUGCAUUUUCUGUCUUAAUCUAACAGCUUCCUUUCCAAGUCAGGGAUGGGGAAGAAGAUUCUGAUCGUCUGUAAUAAACCAGGUUUCUAGCUGUUUGCCUCAGAUCAAGUGGACCACCUGAACCCCCCAGCACCUGAUGGACUCUGAGAGCUAUUCUCAACCGUGGGCUACUCCAUUCCACCUGGAAAGGACCCCCACGAUAGGACUCCGUGGACUGAGUGACUCUUUCGCUCAACUCACCCCCUCCUCCAUUGUGGACCUUUGUACAGGACAAUACUGAAAUGAAAAGUGCUGUUUUUUCCAUGAAAAAUCCAAGUGCUUCAAAGCUUUAAACAUUUUUCCCCAUUUUUUUCAGCUGAAACUAUUUUGUGAAUUCAGUCCCAACUGAAGGAUAAUGGCAGUUCCUCUGAAGUUUUCCUUUCUGUCAAAUUCACUGAAAAAGUUUUCUUCCCCAUCUCUUGUUCAGUUCUCUCCUCUGGCUACCACACCAGGCUGACUCCUAGUAUAGGAAAUGGUGGUAACAACAGCUCUGGUAGAAAGAAAUGGUCUUGUCUGCUCUGGGAUUACGGGAAAUAACUCCUUCCAUUUAUCAAAAUGAUGGACAAUUUGCUUCCAAUUUCUCCAAACCUUUGAAGAACUAUGAUUCCCAUAUAUCCUUUCUUUGACAAAUGGCCCAUAAUGGGGAGCUGCCUUUGAGACAUGGAAAACUUGGAGUGUCCCUGAGAAGCUGGGAGAGGCCUUGCCAAGCUUCCCACCCCCGGAGGCAGGGGCACAAAGUUUCUUAAAAAAGAAGGUGACCGAGGGAGGCAAAAGGGAACUCUUCAGUUUAUUUAUUUCCAAAUACAUUAUCUCACCUCUCCCUCUAUUCUCCCUCCAGGAGACAGAGAAGCCCUCUAGUAAUAUAAAAUCCUGGGGUCUGUCUUUAUCUUCCACAUUUAACUGAGAAACAAACCAGCAUCAAGAAUAUGAUGAGCCAGGUGGUGAUGUAAUGGAGUUUCUGGGGCUUUGUGGUCUAUACAUUGCACCGCUAAAAAUUGAGACGACACAGCCAUUUUGUAUGCAUUUCAGAUGUAGCCAGUGGCAGAGGUGAAAGGCACACUGUACCCUCACUGUUUUUGGGAGACCUGCCUUUCCUCACUGGUGGUUUUUUCUCACUGCACAAUGACAGUGCUGCCCGGGCUGUUUUUUGUGUGUAGCAAGAACCCUGCAGAGGGGACAGAUGAUACCGCAUGCCGGCAAGAUCCUGCUCGGAGACUCCGUCUGGAUUUCCCUGCAGAGGUCAAAAGUCUGCGUCUUUUUCCCUGGUCUGUCCUAAACACCAUCCAAAGUCAUCAUUCAGCUACAGCCACCCUAGUGUUACCUCACCGCGCAAUACCCAGCUACAGACAGACCACCCACUGGAGACCUGGAGGGAAACCAAAGCUAUUUCUUCAACAUUUAUCUAAGAGCCCAAAGCAAAUGGACCCUGUAGCUGUAACUCUUAAACCUGACGGUUAGAUGGAUAGAAGGAAAACAUUCAACCUGAUCUGUGUAUUAAUCAAGGGAAACACUGAAAAUAAACACCGGCCUGGGUAGAAGGCCAGAUCCUCAGCUGGUGAACGCUGGCAUGGCUCCACUGAACUGGCUUGGCUCCAUGGGAGUCCAAUGGAAUUACGCCAUUCAACCCCACCUGCAGAUCUGGCCUCUGAUACAUAAAGCAGCAUACAGGUACUAACUGGGCUCCUUGCUGGCAGAUUCAGAGAGGACAAGGACUGGAGACUAGGAGAGUCAUGGUGGCUGAUUUCUCUUACAUCGGAGUUGGGUGCUCUUAGAAGCAGGUGAAGCCAGUUAAAGUACACUGCCAUUGUGGGUGCUAUUCCUGCUCUGGAGAUGAAGAAGGGACUGAGGCACUGCUUAUCAGCACAAAGUUUCUCCAGAGAAAUAUCCCAAUCUCCAUUGCAUGAGAACUGUGUGAGGCCACAGGGAAGCUGGCUCUACAGUUUCUUGGUCCUUAGCUACCUGGUCCUGGCCUGCCAAGAAGAAAAUCUAACUUAUGCCACUGGCUAGCAGGGUACCAGCACGGUUUUGUGGUGCCACUUCCAAUAUACCCCACCUUCAGUAUAUCCCAGUCUUGCUGUGCUUCCCGCUUAAGUUGUUGCCACCACCAAGCCACCAGUGUGCAUAUGCUCCUGUGAAGUGUUGCUAAAGCAUGAAGUACACCCUGGGAAGGCACCAGCUGCUAGAGGGCCUACGCAGCCAGCGGGUGGCAUGGGGGUACCCCCAUACACCUGCCAGCUGCUGAGCCAGGGAAGAUGCCUUACCUUGUGUGGCAGAGAUAGAGGAACCAUAAGCAGAAAGGAGGGUUCGGUCACCACACAAGGGCUUUGAGUGUGAACUUCAGGAAAUCUCUGCACACUCAAUCACCCAAUACCCCCAAGACCUGAGGCAAGGAGGCAGUGCUCAGGAAGCAGCUUUCCCUCAUCAUGGAUGUGAACAGGGGAAUUUUGCCCAGAGUCUGUUCACAUUGCACCUCUUGAACAAUUCUCUGUCUUCUGCCUGUCUGUCCAUCUGUCUAAAUAAGCAGCAUCCCAAAUUACCAUCCAAAAUGUUUCUGGGCAGCACUCAGGCUCCAUUUUGACCAAUCUUUUUCCCCAACUCCAUUUCACUCUAGACUUCAGGAAAAGCCAGACGCUCCCCAGGUCCCUUCUCCAGCCAAACCUUCCCCUGCUCAUAUUUGGAUAACUUUUUCACCUAAUUGUUUAUGAGGACUCCCCUCCUCCUGCCAAGAUCCAGAGGUUCCUUUCCCUUUGGUCUCAAAGGCCCCUCUUUCAUUUUUCCUUAUUUUUUUCUGCAAGGCCUCCAACUCUGCUAGACUUGGCAGGCCACUUCCAUGACAGGCUCUCGCACAGCGAGCGUCUGUCGAGAGCGCUCCUUUGUUUAUCUACUGAAACAGAUGGGGAGACCAGCCCCGCAGGUGGGACAUGGAGCAAUUCUUCCCAAGUCUAGCUGAUAACCACAGUGCUUUCCGGCUACAUGUGUCCCUGCCUCAACUUGUCAGCCCUGCUCAGCCUCUGGUUUGUCUUCGAUCGGGGCUGGACUCAGACAGAGUAUUAGCCGCAGAGAUAUUUGACUAAAUUUGUUUAAAAGCCCUCAGUAAAUCAUCUAUAUGCUGAGGCGGGCAAGUCAUUCCUUCUGUUAAAGUCAGACACAAGUGGACACUGACUUUAUCAUGAGUGAUUUAACAGGCUGCUCAGCCAUUUGCAGCAGUAUCAGCCAAAUGGGAGAAGGCAAAGACUGCUGCUCCCAACAGAGGGAGGGUGUGAGCUCUGCUUUCCAACUUACAUGUAUGUCACAGAGAUUUUAGAGGUGGGGAGACGCAAAUCAGGGAUGUAUAGAACCUCCACCUUUCCCAGUGUGAGCUGGGAGAACCUCCACCUUUCCCAGUCUGAGCUGGGAGAAUCACCUGACUCUGCAGCAAGCCAAGGAUCUUGCUGCAGAGAGACCUGAACAAACUGAUCCCUGCUAGUUAAAAUGGAUGGAGGUGGAGGAGGGUGAGGGCAAGGGGUGGUGAUGAGGAGCUGGAAGAGACCUCUCAGGUCCUUGCAGGAUGGACAGGCCAGCACUGGCAGAUACGGCAAGAAGAUCAACUGGGCAUUGACCAGGAUACUGAGAUAAGCAGCCGUUUUCUGCAGCAAAUACAAACUUCCUGUCUGGGCCUUCCUUGCCCCACUCAGCCCUGCCCCUCCAUCCUCAACUCUUGCUACCUACAUUAUUAUAAUGGUUGUUACUCCAAUAGGGCCUCAAGGCCUUGGCUACGGUUGAGGCCUCACUGUGCUAGGCAUUGAAUGUAGUGGGAGACUGCCCUGGCCUGAAGGGCUCAUGUUCCAAAUGGACAUGACAGACCAUGAGUGAGUGGAAAGAAGUCCUAGCACCUUGUUCCCUCUGUACCACCCAAGCCUAGCAGGACAUUCAGUCCCCUCCUCUCAUGUGGAGGAUGAUAAUAGGAGUGCUGAGUACCUUGCAGGAUCGGACCUUCUGUGCCCAUGGGGUUUGGAGGUGCAAGGCAUGGAACCACCUAAGUGGAGCAAGAGGAGCCAACACACAAAACUCAGGCAUGUGAGAUUGUUUGAGUAGAAGGUGAUCCAUGUGCUCAAGGGCUUUCUCUGAGGACUGAUACAGCAAACACCAAGCCUGGGACACUGCUUGAUGGAGCUGUGUGAGAGAGAGUAGUACUGAAAAACACUAUAUGAAUUUAGAAAGAAGGAGCAAGCCAAAGGCACGACUAUAGCAGCACUAUUAGUGUGACCCUGAGCAAAAAGCUAAAAGAGUGCUUUGGGGCUAAAUGCUGGCUGAAAGAGGUAGAAACUUGUGAGCAAAGCAGCUGUCCCUGCUGUUUGAUUCCUAAUGUAUUCAGUGAAACGGGACUUUGGCCAUUCUUUGUAAAUAAACAAGAUUGCUUCAAAGGAGCCCAACACCAUCUUCGGUUUGCCUUCCUGGCAGAAACAAGUCACAGGAUGCUGUAUUUCAGCAAAUGGCACAGAUUAAAAUGGGAAAACAAUAAUAAUAAGAACAGCAUCUGGGGGGAAGUGAUCUAUCAUUUGGUCAUUAAUGUGGCGACCUUAGCACUGAGCACCUGGCAAUACAAUGAAACCACCCUGAGUCAGGGACAGAGUGAAAUAGCCUUGUGUCACCAGCACACAUCCCACUGCUUUGGGGAGACGUUUAAGGGCCUUAAGAGCCCUUGCAGUUGAACCCAGUGUUUCCUAAACGAUAAUACACUAGCUGCUGUACUCUCCUCUUUCAGGUGAUGGAAAUACCAGGACACUUUCUAUCUGUGGGGAUGCCAAGUCAUAGCCUGGCAUCCUCUCAUUAGGAAUACCAACAAACCUGCCUCUUUCAAUCACCCCUGCUCAUCAUGGGGGCAACCAGGCCCUCGCAUGAAUGCAAAUCCAUAUUGUUACCUGCCACGCAUGGCCUGGGCCCUCCACCAACCACAGGUCUUCAGUUUCAGUUCAGUUUCUUCUACAGGUGGCAAAACAAACAGAUGAUGGGAACUGAGCUUUAAAAGGUUUGACUUGUGCUGAAAAGGCAGUCCUUGUCCCAAGCACAACAAUGCUCUGUGAGGCCGGGGGCACCUCAGGCUGAGCUCGGAGUUUGUCACUUGAACGGGCUCCUUCCGCCGCACGUAAAACCAAGCAAAGAGAAGAGCCUGAAAAACUACUCCUUUUUUCUCUUUUCUGUAUCAGUUUCCAAACUCUUCAAUCCUCCCCAGUCCCCGGAAAUCCAUGCCCAUAAAGGACCCAAUCCUGCAGAUCCUCAGUUUCGCCAUGGGCAAUACUCCUUUUAAAGUGAAUGGGAGUUUGCCUUAGCGAGGACCCAGGAUUGGGUCCAAAGAGUGUGACAUGGAGUAGUGUGCACACUCACAGCCUGGAGCCUCUACCUUCCCUGGCUUUCACACCCAUUAGCACCCUCUGCAGAACAACAAGGAAGAUGUUAAUCCCCUACUCACCAUAUGGAGCCUCCAUCUUAGCGCUUAGCUCUGCAGUUACAUUGACCAUUUCUCGUCGGCUAGUGUAUUAGAAACUUGGGGUGGAAAAGAGAAAGAGUGGAAAAUAAAAAAAAAUCUAUGUGUACAAGGAGCCAGGUAAAGGCAGGAGGGACUGUGGAGAAGGAGGGUGAGGAAACCUGCCUCUCCUGUUAUCUUAUUGAUUCGCUUAAUCAGGGCUAAUGUGGGUGGAGAUGUUAAAUAGUAACCAAGCUCUUAUGGAAACCAAUCUGCAAGGUGCUAUGGCUGUAGCUAUAGCAACUGCUGUCAAGCUGGGAACUCAAACCUGGCCAUUACUGCAUACUUUGGGGCUCCCUUUUGCACCUAGGCUCAACACCAGGCUGACCCCAGCACCCAGGGAGAUGUUAUCUUGUUGCUCUCCCCAGCUGCACUGGAAAGGCUGGAUACUAGUGACAGAGCCCUGCAAGGGGAAGACAAGGGAGGGGAGGGCCUGCCAGCCACACAGCUGCUGAGGCACAGGGCUUUUUAUUGCCAUCGCCAAACAAAGAAAACAAAGGCUCUGUGUCUGUGGAUGUGAGGGAGGCUGAGGAGGCCAUACAUGUGUGUGUCCAGGGACACGUGUUUAGGUGUGCACACCUGUGCACAUGAGGGUACGGGGUGAAUCUGUAUGUGGAACGUGUGCAAACAGGUGCUUGCAUUUAUGCAGCAGGGCGGGUGUGUAUGAGCAAAUGUGUAUUUACGGGAGUGAGCGUGUGGGUGCAUCGUGUCUGGGCAUGUUUCUGGUGGGGGGGGUGAAUGCAGAUACAACAGAGCCUAUCCUGUGGGCGCCUUCAGUGGAGCAAUAUGUGUAAAGCUGAGGUAAACUCUCACUCAGCGCAGAAUUGGGGACCACUGUACAGUGCAGAAAAUGAGAGGGUCAAAAGCACCCUUCAAACUGAAAGAGAGAGACCAUUUUCUCUGUGUCAGUGCCAGACUUUCAGGAGGACAUGACAGAGCUUUCCUCAGAUUGUCAGGAAAUGGCUCAAAAGCCUGAGAGACCCCGGCAGGAAGAAGAGAGGUGGGAUGUUGUAUCUCAGCAUGGCACAGGCUUACACCACCUAGAUAUACCCAGUAUAUCUUACCUCCUUCUGACUGCCACCCAAAUGGGGCCUGCCUCAUUUAUACUCCUGGCAUCACUUGUCUAACUUGCACUGCCAACAAAGGAUCAUUGAAGUGGAUUGAACUGAGUGCAUACAUGUGUGGCCGUGGUAUAUGUGAGUACACGUAUUCUUGCAGACUUGGAUGGAGGCAUGUAAGCACAUGUGCAGCUGGGUGAGUGAUGUAGAGGUAGAGCCACAGGCACCAAAAAAAGGUUCUGAAAGAGUCUCUAUGGUCUCUCACCAUCAUCUUGUUCUCCCCAGUGUCUGUACUGAAUUGAAUCCCCUUGUGCCCCACAUUGGCCACACGCAACAUUCAUUACUCCCUUCAGAUCCUGCAGUGUAUCUUCUUGCAACAUGCUCUCUGCUGUCCCACUGAGAAAGGUGAUGUGUCAUCCUCCUCCUUGUCUCUCUUGAAGGAUCUGGGCAGAAGUUGCCACCAAAGCAACUGGACAGAGUCAUUGACUCCAGCAAGCUAUGAUAUUGCUGUAAUAGCCAGAGGAUGGUUGUCCAGCUGUUGACUGCAGGCUCCCAGGUUUGUGUAUGGAUGAAUGCUAUCUGGAAUAGGCCUUGUGUGGAAGUUUUAACUCAUGGAUGGCAACAUCAGCUAUGAGAAAGAGGUGUCAGCUGAAGUGAGAUAUGGUGUCCAUGACCUACCUUACACUUCACCUUCUGGUAGGUCCCAAAUAAAUCAACAAUGAUA